UCAAUCAGGGACAGCUGUCUAUCGUUGUCUCUGAUUGGGAAUCAUACUUAGGCAGCUUUCUCCUUUUGUCAUUGAGGGAAGUUGUCUGUGUUAGGGGCACUAUUUCCCUUGUAAGCGGUACGGUCGUGUUUGUUAUUUAUUGUUUUGUUGGGGACAUUUGACUAAAUAAAAGAAAAUGUACGCUCACCACGCUUAGCUUUGGUCCAAUGAUUCUUUCCAGGGAGAAGCCUGUGACCAGUGACCCAUGACUCAACAUAUAGUUGGAUACCCUUUAACCCUGUUGGCACCCCAAACAACAUCACCCAGGUCAACAAAAGCCAGGCUAACAUCCCUCAGGCCAAUGACAGUCAGGCCUCCGUCUCCCAGGCCAACGUCUCCCAGGCCAACGUCACCCAGGCCAACGUCACCCAGGCAAACGUCACCCAGGCAAAAUACAGGCAGACUGACGUGUCCCAGGCCAACGUCACCCAGGCAAACUACAGGUAGACCGACGUGUCCCAGGCCAACGACAACCAGACCAAAGUCUCCCAGGUGAACAACAGCCCAGACAACAUCACACUCAGAUACCCCCCCUGACUCCGGACAGCCCGGAUGACACUGUCACCCUGAACUCAGUUGACUCCCUAUCCCUCCCCACAAAGGGAGGAAGAAGGAUGAAGAAGACAUGAAUGUUUAGUGCCUUGGAGCAUUUUCACAAAUCCACAUCUGAUUCUGAUCUUUGUGUUUAGUACCUUUAUUGGCACUAAAAUAUGUAAAUUAAAAACGAAACAAAGUCUUGCUCUAACAAAUCUUGGUAGCUGCCUGAGGUGGGUGUAGGAACAGUGAAAAUAUAUUAAGAUGCCGUUUUUAGAUCAGAAGUAGUUGAGUACAUAAGGCUCCGUAACUGCAACAGAGUGAUACUUCUGAAGAUGUAAGAUAAGUUGGGCAGUAUGUGAAGUUGCACUCAAGAACAGUAUUUCCCUCCCUUGUCUGUCUCUGAUAGCUGUCUCCCCUUCUCUUGGCUCUUUGAACUCUGUGGCUCAUUCAAUGCCUCAGCUAUCCUCACAGUUGCAUUCCCAAGCAGGAAAUCUGUAGAUGAUUAGUGUUUGUAGUUAAGGUCAUCUUGUCUUUUUGUAGUUGAAAGGGAACUUAGUCAUUCUGCUUUUGAUAUUGCAGUGUGCACAAUGGAGUAUGGCCAGCGAAGUCCGUGAUCAGAGAAAGGUUGGGCCAGGCAAGGCACAGAAAGAGAAAAUAAAUGUGAUCGUAUAACCUA